GCGAGGUUGCGUAUCUCUAGUUGGAGCGACUAUCUUUUAUCCGGAGGGUUGGUUUUGUUUCCUACUUCAGCCUAUUUCUCGGACCCGCGCCUUUUUGAGAGAUUCCCUUCCUCCUUUGCCCCCUUUUCGGGCCACAUCAGGCGGGAGGCUUCCAGAAAGUCGACAAGUCAUCUUUAGGUGCAAAGGAGUCAGACUUCAGGAAGACCAACUCAAAUAUUUGGCAUUUAAAGGAAUUUCAAGUUUUUAAAAGAAAGUAAUGCUUCUAGGGGCUUCCCUGGUGGCUCAGUGAUUAAGAAUCCGCCUACCAAUGCAGGGGACAUGGGUUCGAGCCCUGGUCCUGGGAAGAUCCCACAUGCUGCAGAGCAACUAAGCCCAUGCGCCACAACUACUGAGCCCAUGAGCCACAACUACUGGAGCCUGCGCGCCUGGAGCCCGUCGUCUGCAGCAAGAGAAGCCACCACGGUCUUUGAAUUCUGCAGGGGACAUUUGGGAAAACUUUCCACCUAUGAAUUUUCCUUGUUCCAUUGGUCCAGCUUGCAGUGUUGCGCGUCUUGAACGACAAGACACAUCAAACGAGUUGAGAAAGGCUGCGAUUUUCUUGAUGCUGCUGGUGAUGACGUCAGUGUACUCCCGGCUCGCCCAGUCCUGAUGCUGAGACCAACAUUGACAACAAGCCCACAUCAACACAGGGAAUUUCUGAAGAAAGGGAGGUGAUGAUAUCAUGUAGACUGCCGAAGAGUUUCUCAAGAACCUGACUUUCCAGAAACAUGUGAACUGGAGAAGCACCAGGAAAUCCCCACAGUGAAAAACAUUAAAAGAAAGGAUGAGAGAAUCCACUAUGCAAGGAAACCCUUCGGAUGUGAGGAGUGUGGGAGAUACUUCAUCUUUUUUUCUUACUAUAUUCGACACCAGAGAGUCCACACUGGAGAGAAACUCUAUCCACAUGAGGAGUGUGGGAAAUCCUUCAAUGGCAAUUCUUCAUUAAUUCAGCAUCAGAGAAUCCACACUGGAGAGAAACCCUAUCAGUGUGAGGGGUGUGGAAGAGCCUUUAAUAACAGUGAAAGUCUGAUCAGGCAUCAGAGAGUCCACAGUGGGGACAGACCCAAUCUCUGCAAGAGGUGUGGAAAUGGCUUCCCCAGUAGUUCUGAACCUUGUUAUACAUCACAGAAUCCAGACGAGAGAGAAACCCUAUGAAUGUAAUGAGUGCGGCAAAGCUUUUGCUGUUAAGUCAACAUUAAGUCGGCAUCAGAGAAUCCACAGUGGAGAAAAACCAUAUGGGUGUAGCAAGUGUGGGAAAACAUUUAGGACUUCCUCCCAGCUACAUCAUCUUGGGUAUGCCCACCCUAGAAAGAAGCCUGUCCUGGACCUUGGUUCUUUUGGCCUCCCAGCAUUUUUUACCCCAUUUUCAUGGUAAUUACUGCCCUACUUUUUGGGAAAAUACCACUCUGCCCCAACACAACAGUUCAUGUGGUUUGGGUGAGGCUCUAUUCCCUACUGCAAAGGUGGAACAUGUAGCCUAGUCUGGCCCAUCUGUACUGUUCCUUCCACCCACCACAAUGGUGGGUUCAGGCGACCCAAAUUCAUCCAAUCAGAAUGGACCCUUUGACUGUGCAAAACCUACCACGAAGUGACAUUCUUUUCUGCUGGACGUGGAUGUUAGCCUUGACCCACGUGAAGGCUGAGAAGAAAGCCAGCCCUGCAAACAGAGAUGGAGAGAACUAAACUUGCCUCUGGAUUUUUCAGUGAUGUAAAUCAAAAAAUUAAAUUCUUUGCUUAAAUAGU